rnacentral:rRNA from 1 species
CCUACGGGAGGCAGCAGUGGGGAAUAUUGGACAAUGGGGGAAACCCUGAUCCAGCGACGCCGCGUGAGUGAAGAAGUAUUUCGGUACGUAAAGCUCUAUCAGCAGGAAAGAAAAUGACGGUACCUGACUAAGAAGCCCCGGCUAACUACGUGCCAGCAGCCGCGGUAAUACGUAGGGGGCAAGCGUUAUCCGGAUUUACUGGGUGUAAAGGGAGCGUAGACGGCAGCGCAAGUCUGGAGUGAAAGGCCGGGGCUCAACCCCGGAACUGCUCUGGAAACUGUGAAGCUGGAGUGCAGGAGAGGUAAGCGGAAUUCCUGGUGUAGCGGUGAAAUGCGUAGAUAUCAGGAGGAACACCGGCGGCGAAGGCGGCUUACUGGACUGUAACUGACGUUGAGGCUCGAAGGCGUGGGGAGCAAACAGGAUUAGAUACCCUUGUAGUC